GACGAACGCUGGCGGCGUGCUUAACACAUGCAAGUCGAGCGGAAAGGCCACUUCGGUGGUACUCGAGCGGCGAACGGGUGAGUAACACGUGAGUAAUCUGCCCCUGGCUUUGGGAUAGCCACCGGAAACGGUGAUUAAUACCGGAUAUGACCACUUCUCGCAUGGGUUGUGGUGGAAAGUUUUUUCGGCGCAGGAUGUGCUCGCGGCCUAUCAGCUUGUUGGUGAGGUAAUGGCUCACCAAGGCUUUGACGGGUAACCGGCCUGAGAGGGUGACCGGUCACACUGGGACUGAGACACGGCCCAGACUCCUACGGGAGGCAGCAGUGGGGAAUAUUGGACAAUGGGCGGAAGCCUGAUCCAGCAACGCCGCGUGAGGGAUGACGGCCUUCGGGUUGUAAACCUCUUUCAGUACCGACGAAGCGAGAGUGACGGUAGGUACAGAAGAAGGACCGGCCAACUACGUGCCAGCCGCCGCCGUAAAAC
rnacentral:rRNA from 1 species